CCUACGGGGGGCAGCAGUGAGGAAUAUUGGUCAAUGGGCGGGAGCCUGAACCAGCCAAGCCGCGUGAGGGAAGAAGGUACAGCGUAUCGUAAACCUCUUUUGUCAGGGAACAAAGGCGGGGACUAGUCCCCGGAUGAGGGUACCUGAAGAAAAAGCAUCGGCUAACUCCGUGCCAGCAGCCGCGGUAAUACGUAGGGGGCAAGCGUUAUCCGGAUUUACUGGGUGUAAAGGGAGCGUAGGCGGCCAUGCAAGUCAGUAGUGAAAACCCGGGGCUCAACCCUGGGAGUGCUUUUGAAACUGUGCGG
rnacentral:rRNA from 1 species